rnacentral:rRNA from 1 species
UACGUAGGGGGGCAAGCGUUGUCCGGAAUCAUUGGGCGUAAAGAGCGUGUAGGCGGCUUGGUAAGUCCGCUGUGAAAGUCCAGGGCUCAACCCUGGAAAGCCGGUGGAAACUGUCAAGCUUGAGUCCGGAAGAGGCGAGUGGAAUUCCCGGUGUAGCGGUGAAAUGCGCAGAUAUCGGGAAGAACACCCGUGGCGAAGGCGGCACUCUGGGACGGUACUGACGCUGAGACGCGAAAGCGUGGGGAGCGAACAGG